CGUCGCACUCCUCCCCACCUCCAGGCUUUUCCUGUGUAGGCUGAAGCCAUCCAGGCGUGUACAAAAGAGUCGGUUGCUGAGCCAGGAAGGCUGUCUCCCCGGGCUGCGCAAGCUCCGGGCCGCCUCUCCUGGGCUCAGGAGGGCGGGCAAGGAUAAGAAGGCAGAAGCCCCAAGGCGGACAGCUUUGUGGGCGCCUGGAAGAAGGCGAAAGGCCACCAGCCCAGACCCCGAGGGCGCUUGCCCGCGGGACUCGGCGCCGCAGGCCAGGGCCGUCCGUGAAGGGUAGUCUGUGCCUACGUCCUGCCCUACUGGUACCACUCGGACACUCUAUCCCCGUCCGACCCUUUGCAGGGCUCGACUUGUCUCCCCGACUGCCCGUCCUUAGUCCAGGUUCUCCUGCGCGGCCCGGGUGCGGGGUCUCCUCGUCAUCUCGGGCGACACUCUGCAAACAAUAUGGCGGUCGGGCGUCGACCGUGGCGCCUUCUCUCCGGGCCCUCGGGGUUGACGAGGGGGACUACCGCCGGCGCUCCCGACCCGCGACGCGCGAGCCCCGGGCGGGCGGGGGAGGCGAGAGCAAGAAACCUGUGGGACCUGUGGGGAGCCGCGUCCGCGGGGCU
rnacentral:lncRNA from 10 species